AAGCGUUGACAUAAGGUGUUGCGCCAGAAGGCAGUGCCUUACGAGCUUUGAAUGGGUUUCACGUUUACCGCAUUCUGGCUAGACUGUAAAUGCAGUUGAAAGAAAACGUCAGGG
ncrna:unclassified sequences drum RNA